rnacentral:rRNA from 1 species
UACGUAGGGGGCAAGCGUUGUCCGGAUUUAUUGGGCGUAAAGAGCGUGUAGGCGGCCUGAAAGGUCAGCUGUGAAAACUCAAGGCUCAACCUCGAGACGUCGGUUGAAACCAUCUGGCUAGAGUCCGGAAGAGGAGAGUGGAAUUCCCGGUGUAGCGGUGAAAUGCGCAGAUAUCGGGAAGAACACCCGUGGCGAAGGCGGCUCUCUGGGACGGUACUGACGCUGAGACGCGAAAGCGUGGGGAGCGAACAGG